CAGCCGCCGCGGGAAUACGUAGGGUGCGAGCGUUAAUCGGAAUUACUGGGCGUAAAGCGUGCGCAGGCGGUUUUGUAAGACAGAGGUGAAAUCCCCGGGCUCAACCUGGGAACUGCCUUUGUGACUGCAAGGCUAGAGUACGGCAGAGGGGGAUGGAAUUCCGCGUGUAGCAGUGAAAUGCGUAGAUAUGCGGAGGAACACCGAUGGCGAAGGCAAUCCCCUGGGCCUGUACUGACGCUCAUGCACGAAAGCGUGGGGAGCAAACAGGAUUAGAUACCCCGGUAGUCCCUGUCUCUUAUAC
rnacentral:rRNA from 1 species